GCCGAGAUAGCUCAGCCGGUAGAGCGCAUUCUUGGUAAGAAUGAGGUCCCGGGUUCGAUUCCCGGUCUCGGCUCCA
rnacentral:tRNA from 1 species